rnacentral:lncRNA from 1 species
UUUUUUUUUUUUUUUGUCUUCUUAGGGCUGCACCUGCAGCAUAUGGAGGUUCCCAGGCUAGGGGUCUAAUCGGAGCUGUAGCUGCCGACCUAUGCCAUAGCCACAGCAACAUCAGGUCUGAACCUUGUUUGUGACCUACACCAUAGCUCAUGUCAAUGCUGGAUCCUCAACCCACGGAGCAAGGCCAGGGAUCUAACCCGCCUCCUCAUAGAUGCUAGUCAGAUUUCUUUCUGCUGAGCCAUGAUGGGAACUCCCAAGGUCUGCCUUUCUUCAAGCUUAUUAUUUUAGCCUAUAAUUCUUUAAAUUUUGAUCUACAUAAUUCCUGUUAGAUAUUGUGGUUGUCCUUCAGGCUUGCCUUCAAAUGGAACACUCAAAUUGUGUUUCUGCAAAAAUCUAACUUUAAAAAUAACAGUAUUUAUGGAGAUGAAUGAUUACUCAUGUUGAUAUGUAACAGUGAGAUCAGUCUGUAGGCACAUUGAAAAAUAAUAUGCCUUUAAACUUGAAUGGGGAAUAUUAAGUUUCAAAAUCAAUAUUUAAUCUAAGUGCAAUAGAAUGGUUUAAUAGGUACUUUAAAUGAGGCCUCCAGACCUUGCAUGACAGAAUUUUAAUGCCAGAGAAGAGGGGUAAUGGAGAGCGCCCUGUAGUCUACCACCCUCAGGCUACUUCCACUCACCACUCAGGUUACAAAUACUGACCUUCUCUAGGGAUUGACAGAACCUCCAGUGCUCUGUGAUGAGUUCAAAGGCAUCCACAAGUAAAGAGUUUCCUUGAUCAAAUACAUAUGAGUAAUGCACAUCCUCUUUUGGAGAUUUCCACUGUGUGUGAGGAUAUUCUAGGACAUGAGAUAACUCUGUCAUAAAGAUGUGUUUUCCAGUGUUUCACCCAGCAUGUCUUAAAUGUAUUUGAUGACAGAAUCCUGUUAGCAAGGAACAUAUUUUGGAAAACACUGAACCAAGUUUUUUUCUGACUCCAACAUUCUGGGGUUUUAAACAUACCAUCCAAAUAUUGCUUAGCAAUGUUACAGCCACUUGAUUUUCCCACUAGAUGGCACCCUUGCAUGAGAUUUACUUUUUAUUUUUGAUUGGUUUCUUUUUGGACACUACUUUUACCAUGCCUGCUCUGGUAGAAGGAGGAUCAGUUAUGAAGUUGAUUUUAAAGCCAUUCUUGUAACAUUUUAUAAGCCAUUUAAAAUAAAGCACUGUGUCAAGUGUAAGGAUGAAUGUCAGCCUAGAGUGAAAUGGUAUACAAAUUUUUUUGCAGUGGCACUAACUUCAAAAAAACAACAGCACUGUUUGAACAAUACCAGUAUUAUUAUUUUUUCACUUUUAAGUCAGAUUUUAGCCAGACAAAAUUUAAUUGAAUGCUUGGGUUCUUUUGAUCACCUUGAAAUGUUGAGCUGUGAGGCGGUCAAGUUAUCAGGAGGCAGUUGGGAAAGUUCUUUAGUUUCUGUGAUGGGUAAGAAGUAUGUGUCUUCAGUCAUUACACAGGAAUAAUUUUAUUAGGGAUCAUUGAAAUAUUAUUGUGUUUAGAUGGGAGUGCAUCUUGAGAAGAUCUUCCUUUCCAGGCAGGCUGUUUAAGUGGUCUCUUAAAGUUUCCUUCAUGAUCUAGUAAAUUUUUGAUUGCUCUUUAUUAAAAAUAAUUUGCCAUUAGGCAUUAAGAUUGUGCUGGUCUGUGGGUUCAUCAGUUAGUCUCUCUUUGACUAGGUCUCUCUGUUGUAAGCUUAAACACUUUAGACGCCCCCCCCCCACUCCCUCCCCCAUCCCUGGAGUUCAAGGAAUUUCGCACGUUGGUUUAAGUGUACCCAGGAGUUUUGGAAAAUGAAGGCAACUUUACUUAGGAAUAGUUAUACUUCGAGUUUGUUUGACUGAAGGAUGUUUACUUAUUAGAAAUAUGUGCCUUUUUAAUGAUGGAAAGGGAGCUUUUAAAAAUAUAAUGAGGAGGCUUCCUGAACAGCUUCCUGAAAUAGGUGUAUAUUUGCAGGGGGGGAAUGAGAAGCCACACUCUGACUGGAGUCUCAUCUUGUUUUUUCAAUCUAUCUUUUAAAGGUGAAAUUUUUGUUAAGGACUCUUAGAUAUUAUUCCAGUAAAUGUUUUUUCUGAACCCCAAGUAGCACCCCAAGGAUAUUAAAAUUCUCGUACUUCCUUAAGGUAAGUUUGAGUUGUGAUUUUCUUAGCAUGACUAGUAGAUCUGUGGCUGUCUCUUGCUUCAUGUUUUGCAUUUUCUCUUAGCUUUUUCCUUCAUAAUGUUCAGCAUGGCAUGGGUCCUAGUUUUUAGUUUAUCUUUGGGCCUUAGAUUUUUAGCAUAGAGUGUGUGUUGCACUCUUAUUUGGUUAGACUCUCUGAGAAGUUUGAUGCAGAUUUUGUGUGUGGUUUAUAAUGAAGAUAUCAGAUAAAACAGAAUAAUAAUCAUAGUUAAUAUGUAUUGAGUGUUUAUUGUUCUAGGCACUAUACCAAGCAUUUCACACAUAUUAGCUCAUUAAAUCUUCACAGAACCCUUAAUGGGAUAGAUGCUAUUUCUGUGGCAUUUUCAGAUGAACAAAUCGAAGGUUAGAAAGGUAAAAUAAUUUAGUUAAUAUCACUUAGUUUGUAAGUGGCCCAACAAAGAUUACAGGUCUGGUCUCUCAUGCCUUAUGUUUUAUCACCACACAAAUGAUAUGUAAUAUUCAUGUCUUAAUAGUUUUGUGGAAUGAGCAUGUGAAUCUUUGUGAGGUUGAGGCAGGCUGGGCUAAGUAGCCGCAAUGUAGGAGGAAAUCUCCUAAUAAUGAGAACUUAACUGUCAAUUUUGUUCUCAGCUCUAGACACCAAGAUUUCUUGGCUUGAUGGCUUCAUAUUCAAAUAUGUUUGGCUGUGUUUCUCAAAACACUAAGUUACUGUACUUUGCAUUAACAGUGCUCGGCUUUGUCUUUUAUGCAGAAAGCCCCUCCAGGCCUCUGUAAUGUGCUAAAAAAGAUCUUGUCUAAAACUCAUGAAAAUAAAUAACAUAAAACUUUUCUGAAUAAAUUUGAGUUAAGUGAACAGAACCCUUUUCUAUAUAUGCAUAUUGCAUACAUACAGUUGUGUGCGCCUGUGAACACAUGUUCUGUCAUAGGACCUAGGACUAAUAUCCUCCAUAACGAAGGACAUCUCAGAAUUUCCAUUAUAAGUUAUUUUAGGGGUUUAUAACUAAUACUGCAAAAAAUUCAGCCCUACCUAGAAUUUUAUUGUGUUUGCAGGAUCAAUUAUUGCAAGGAAGAAUGUAGAUGAGAACAAAUCUCUGUUUUAGCCAUUGGAGGUGGUGCACAUGUUUGUGUAAUUGUUGAAAAGGAUGGGAGGGCUGAUGGAAGUAGAUCAGGGAUCUCAGAGAUUCAAGUGGCAAAGAGUAAUAAUCUCUUGGUUAUCGGAUACCUAAGGGACAAACACAAGUUUGAUAUUUAACUCACAUGUUAAUUAUAAACAGGGAGUCCAUAUGGUAUAUCAUUGAAUUCUGUGUAUCUUUUUUUUUUUCCAGAAAUUGGUAGAAAUUAAAGCAUUAUUAGACAGGGGCACAUAGAUUAUUUUUACCACCAAAAUCAAGACUCAACUCAAAAGUCAUCUCUUCUGGAAAACCUGCAAUAAUUACUAAAAAAUAUUGAACACUUUCAGGGAGUGUGCUAAGCUCUUGACAUAAGCUUAUUUAUUCCACUGAACAUCUUCAUUUUUCAGAUGAAGAAGCCAAAGAUCAGAGAAAGAAAGUAAGAUACUCAUGGUCAUGAAGUAGGAACUGGUAGAGGAGCUGAUUGACUCUGGGGAGCCAGAGUCUACAGUAUGCACGGGGUGUGCCCAAUGUUUUCUGAUUCCCGUUUGCACUGACAUUCCUUUAACCCAGUUAUUCUCAGCCCUGGGGCUCAUUUAUAACAAUUCAAGGAGCUUAAAAAUGCAUGCAGAUCUGAUUAACUAAGUCAGAAUCACUGGAAAGGAAGCCCGGGUCUUGGUACUAUGCAGAGAAGGCUGGUUGAGAACUCUCUCCCCUCUGCCCUUCCUUCCUGGUCAGCCAUAAUAGUUGUGACAUCAGUGAUUUCUAUAGUAAUAAUUAAAUGAAUUAAUUAAAUGAAUUCAUUUAAAAUUUGCUUCAGUUUGUAUGGACUGGGCAAAAGUUUAACUUUGCAAAGGAUGUGCUAAGCUCAUUAAUAGAUUACACUGGAGUAUAAGUGAAACAUUCAUCCUAUUGAAGAUUACAAACAGCUUUCAAGAAUAAUAGAAAACUGGAGUUCCCAUUCGUGGCUCAUGGUAAUGAAUCCGACUAGUAUCCAUGAGG